rnacentral:tRNA from 1 species
ACAGGAAGUGUGCCUGAAACUAAGGACUACUUUGAUAGAGUACGCCACAGGGGUUAAAAUCCCCUCAUUUCCU